rnacentral:rRNA from 1 species
GACCUGGUUGGGCGGUCCGCUUAACGGCGUGUACUGUUCGACUGGGCCUUACUUCUUGGUGAGCCGGAGUGCCCUUAAUUGGGUGCUGUGGGGAACCAGGACUUUUACCUUGAGAAAAUUAGAGUGUUCAAAGCAGGCCUAUGCCCGAAUACAUUAGCAUGGAAUAAUAAAAUAGGACGUGCGGUUCUAUUUUGUUGGUUUCUAGAGUCGCCGUA